CCAGCACCUGCGUUAAUUCCAGCUCCAAUAGCGUAUAUUAAAGUUGUUGCAGUUAAAAAGCUCGUAGUUGGAUUUCUGGCAGGAGCGUCCGGUCUCACACUCAGUGCGGGAACUUGGAUGUCUCUGGCCAUCUUUGGGGAUAUCCUGUUUGGCAUUAAGUUGUCGCGCAGGGGAUGCCCAUCGUUUACUGUGAAAAAAUUAGAGUGUUCAAAGCAGGCUUAUGCCGUUGAAUAUAUUAGCAUGGAAUAAUAAGAUAGGACCUUGGUACUAUUUUGUUGGUUUGCGCACCAAGGUAAUGAUUAAUAGGGACAGUUGGGGGUAUUCGUAUUCCAUUGUCAGAGGUGAAAUUCUUGGAUUUCUGGAAGACGAACUACUGCGAAAGCAUUUACCAAGGAUGUUUUCAUUAAUCAAGAACGAAAGU
rnacentral:rRNA from 1 species